rnacentral:rRNA from 1 species
UACGGGGGGGGCAAGCGUUGUUCGGAAUUACUGGGCGUAAAGGGCUCGUAGGCGGCCAACUAAGUCCGACGUGAAAUCCCCAGGCUUAACCUGGGAACUGCGUCGGAUACUGGAUGGCUUGAAUCCGGGAGAGGGAUGCGGAAUUCCAGGUGUAGCGGUGAAAUGCGUAGAUAUCUGGAGGAACACCGGUGGCGAAGGCGGCAUCCUGGACCGGCAUUGACGCUGAUGCGCGAAAGCCAGGGGAGCAAACAGG